rnacentral:SRP_RNA from 1 species
CGGAUAAAAUAGCUUGACUUUCAACAAAAUUUAUAGUAUAUUAACUAGAUGUGAAUUGCCUUUUAAAAGCUCCGCUUGGUUAGGUUUGGGUCCUGCGCAAUAGGACUCUGCGAAUCUUGUCAGGUCCGGAAGGAAGCAGCAAUAAGUGGAAGCUCUUAUGUGCCGCAGAUUAGCCUUCUCCUUGCCGGUGGAGCUUUUAAAGGGCAAUUCUUUGUCUUUAUUUG